rnacentral:rRNA from 1 species
AGCGAACGCUGGCGGCAGGCCUAACACAUGCAAGUUGAACGAAGCCUUCGGGCUUAGUGGCGGACGGGUGAGUAACACGUGGGAACGUACCUUUUGGUUCGGAACAACUCAGGGAAACUUGAGCUAAUACCGGAUGAGCCCUUAGGGGGAAAGAUUUAUCGCCGAAAGAGCGGCCCGCGUUAGAUUAGCUAGUUGGUGAGGUAAAGGCUCACCAAGGCAACGAUCUAUAGCUGGUCUGAGAGGAUGAUCAACCACACUGGGACUGAGACACGGCCCAGACUCCUACGGGAGGCAGCAGUGGGGAAUCUUGCGCAAUGGGCGAAAGCCUGACGCAGCCAUGCCGCGUGAAUGAUGAAGGUCUUAGGAUUGUAAAAUUCUUUUACCAGGGACGAUAAUGACGGUACCUGGAGAAAAAGCCCCGGCUAACUUCGUGCCAGCCGCCGCGGUAAGAC